AAGCAUCUGCAGCCUGGCUGAAAGCCUCCUGGAGUUGCUGCAUCAUGAAGAUGGAGAGCUGGUCGGGAUGACCCUCUCUGUGUUCCUCAAUGUGCUCCGGGAUGAAGACCUUCAGACGUUCAGCUCCGCUGCCCCAAAGCUGGCUGAGGCACUUGGACCACUCUUUGACAAUGACAACGGCCAUGUGCGGCUGCUCUCCAUUCGUCUCUUCCGAGAAAUGAUGGAGUUUCUGGCAGAAGAGGGACAAAAGACACUUGUGCAGCAGAGUCUUGUGCCGCUGUUCUUCCACUGCCGUGACGAGAACCAGUGCGUGGCAGAGGCCUCUCGAGAAACACUCCUUUGUGCUGCAAGUUUCCUCAAGAGAAGGGAUCUUGAGCAGCUGCUGAGGAAACAGCAGCACUUGGAGUUCUGCGAUUGCCUGAUGGACAAGGACGUCAGCCGAAGGGACGAGCACCUGCGCCAGGCCCUGCCCUAUCUGCAGAGCCCACAGCAGCCCCUGCGAGAGGUGGCCGUCAGGUUCAUGGGGAUCGCUGCCUGGCACACAAAAGACCUGCAGCCCAUCAUGAAGGCCCUUGAAGUCAUGACUGAAGAUGACUGCCCCUCCUACUGCACCAUGCGGACUGCAGCCUUGUCCGCUUUUCGACGGGCAGUAACAAAGUAACCCUCUCCAUCGGCACAACCAGCGUCCCUCCAACAGCAAUGAAAGACCAAGGGACGAGUCAGCUUCUCAGCGCAGCUGGAGCUGCAGCUGAUGCUGGGCCCAACUGAGCCAGCUGGCAAAACCAGGCAGCUCCUGGCCUCCCCAUCCCUAUGGACAGCUCCCUCCCUUCCUUCCCUUCUCUUGCCCACACUUCAUUCCUCCCCUUCCCCUUAGCUUAAGAAGGUUCUGCCUUCCCCUUAGGUUAAGAAGAUUCUUCCCUUCCCCUUAGGUUAAGAAGGUUCUUCCCUCCCCUUCCCCUUAGCUUAAGAAGGUUUAUCCAUCCCUUCCCCUUAGGUUAAGAAGGUUCUUCCCUCUCCUUCCCCUUAGGUUAAGAAGAUCAGCCCUCCCCUUCCCCUUAGGUUAAGAAGCUUCAUCCCUCCCCUUCUCCUUUGGUUAAUAAACAUUCACUUUCUCCCUCUGAGAUGCAUCUUUGUGGAACUUAAGCGGCACAAACCCUCAGCCCUGCAGCUCACGGGCCCGCUCCUGCCUUGCUUUUGCCCCUUGCGCCGUGGGCACACACACACAGGGACAAGAGCUCUUCAGCUUGCAAAGGGCCCUGUCUGGAAGGGCCCCUUCCACAACAUUAAGUGCACUUAAAGAUUUUGCUGGACACACUGAAGGCCACUAGUCUGAACCUGCAAGACACACUGCGAGCAAUAGGAGCUAGAGCUGGAGUGCCUGUUCUCAGAGGACUGGAAGGAAUUCAGGCUUGCCAGCCUUUCUUAGGUGUGUGCUGGUGUUCCCCAAGAAAACUACAGAUUUGGGUCAUCCCUCUGGAGGCAAGGAGCUUACUU